rnacentral:rRNA from 1 species
GACGAACGCUGGCGGCGUGCCUAACACAUGCAAGUCGAACGGAAAGGCCCUGCUUUUGUGGGGUGCUCGAGUGGCGAACGGGUGAGUAACACGUGAGUAACCUGCCCCUGACUUUGGGAUAACUUCAGGAAACUGGGGCUCAUACCGGAUAGGAGCUCCUGCUGCAUGGUGGGGGUUGGUAAGUUUCGGCGGUUGGGGAUGGACUCGCGGCUUAUUGGCUUGAUUGGGGGGUAGUGGCUUACCAAGGCUUUGACGGGUAGCCGACCUGGGAGGGGGACCGGCGCCACUAGGCUUGAGAUACGGCCCAGACUCGAAUGGUAGGCAACGGUGGGGAGUAUUACACAGUAGGCGGGAGCAUGAUGCGACAACGCCGCGUGCGGGAUGACGGCAUUCGGGUUGUAAACCAAUGUCGCCUGAGACGAAGCGUGAGUGACGGUAACGGGUAAAGAAGCACCGGCUAACUACGUG